AAAUAAAAUUUUUAUGUUUUAAAAAAUUUAUUUUAUACUUAUUUUACAUAUAAAUUUUGGUAUUUAAUUAUAUUUAUUUUAAUAAUAAUUAUAAUUUAUUAGUAGUAAUUAAUUUUAAUAAUUUAAGAAAUUAUGAAUUAGUAAUGUAUUUAUUAUUAACAAAUUUUGUGCCAGCAGUUGCGGUUAUACAAAAGAUAAAAUAAAUUUUAUUAGUUAUAAAUAAAUAUUUAAUUAAUUGAUUUAAAAUAAAUAUUGAAUUAUUAAGUGAAAUUUUAAUUUAAUUAAAUUUUAAAUAAAAAUAUGAUUUUAUAAAUUUUAUAAAAAACUAGGAUUAGAUACCCUAUUAUUAAAAUUUAAAAUUAAAUACUAAAAAAGUAGGUAAUUAUUUAUUGAAACUUAAAUAAUUUGGCGGUAUUUUAGUUUAUUUAGAGGAAUCUGUUUAAUAAUUGAUAAUCCACGAAUAAAUUUACUUAAUUUAAAAAUUUAUAUAUCGUUGUUAGAAAAAUAUUUAAAAAUAAAAAUAAUAUUUAAAAAUUAAAAUAAAAAAUUAAAUCAGAUCAAGAUGUAGUUUAUAAUUAAGAAUAUAAUGGAUUACAAUAAAUUUAUUUAAAUGAAUUUAAAAUUGAAAAAUUUUAUUGAAAGUGGAUUUAAAUGUAAUUUUAUUUAAUUUAUUAAAAUGAUUAAAAAUUAAAAUAUGUACAUAUUGCCCGUCGCUUUCAUUUAUAAAUUGAAAUAAGUCGUAACAAAGUAGAGGUACUGGAAAGUGUUUCUAGAAAGAU
rnacentral:ncRNA from 1 species